rnacentral:rRNA from 1 species
GCGUGUGUGAAGAAGGCCUGCGGGUUGUAAAGCACUUUCAGUAGGGAAGAAAAGGGUGGGGCUAAUAUCCCUAUCUCUUGACGUUACCUACAGAAGAAGCACCGGCUAACUCCGUGCCAGCAGCCGCGGUAAUACGGAGGGUGCAAGCGUUAAUCGGAAUUACUGGGCGUAAAGCGCGCGUAGGUGGCUAGAUAAGUCUGAUGUGAAAGCCCUGGGCUUAACCUGGGAACUGCAUUGGAUACUGUCUGGCUAGAGUAUGGUAGAGGGAAGUGGAAUUCCGGGUGUAGCGGUGAAAUGCGU